UACAGAGGGUGCGAGCGUUGUCCGGAAUCACUGGGCGUAAAGGGCGCGUAGGCGGCGCGGUAAGCGUGCGGUGAAAGCCCGGGGCUCAACCCCGGGUCGGCCGUGCGGACUGCCGGGCUGGAGCACUGUAGAGGCAGGUGGAAUUCCGGGUGUAGCGGUGGAAUGCGUAGAGAUCCGGAAGAACACCGGUGGCGAAGGCGGCAUCCUGGACCGGUAUUGACGCUGAGGCGCGAAAGCCAGGGGAGCAAACGGG
rnacentral:rRNA from 1 species